ACGAACGCUGGCGGCGUGCUUCACACAUGCCAGUCGCACGGAAAGGCCCUGCUUGCCGGGUACUCGAGUGGCGAACGGGUGAGUAACACGUGGGUGAUCUGCCCUGCACUUCGGGAUAAGCCUGGGGAACUGGGUCUAAUACCGGAUAGGAGCCAUUUUUAGUGUGAUGGUUGGAAAGUUUUUUCGGUGUAGGAUGAGCUCGCGGCCUAUCAGCUUGUUGGUGGGGUAAUGGCCUACCAAGGCGGCGACGGGUAGCCGGCCUGAGAGGGUGGACGGCCACAUUGGGACUGAGAUACGGCCCAGACUCCUACGGGAGGCAGCAGUGGGGAAUAUUGCACAAUGGGCGCAAGCCUGAUGCAGCGACGCCGCGGGGGGGAUGACGGCCUUCGGGUUGUAAACUCCUUUCGCUAGGGACGAAGCUUUUUGUGACGGUACCUAGAGAAGAAGCACCGGCUAACUACGUG
rnacentral:rRNA from 1 species